UAAUAAAAACCUAAGCACACGCUCUCUCACAGAUCCUCAUCUAAAAUCGUCGCUCCACCUCUGUCACAAAAACCCUAAGAUCUAAAUCGCCGCUCUACCUCUCUCACAAAAACCCUAAACCAUGUCCAAUGACACAGUAUGUCAUGAGUGUUUCGACACCUGGAGAACAACAAAAUGUUUAGGGUGUAAUAUAAAAGAAUACUUUCAUGAAAAAGAGUUAAAGAUGUUGGCAAAUAUAGGAUAUACAAGAGAUGAUAUAAUAGGAAAGAUUAAAAAAAAUUCAAAGAUGCAAAGGAAGUUGAAAAGAUGCAUCGGUGGAUAAAAAAGAAAACUGAAGUGUUGGAACGUUUGGAGAGACUUGAAAGGGCCAAAGAGCAUAGAUGACUUAGAAAAUGAAUGAAAAAAUCAUCUACUCUGAUUAUUGCUGAUAUACCAGAUGAAAAUGGUGACCCUGCUAUUGACACUUUGGUAGAUGAAAAUGGUGACCCUGCUAUUGACACUUUGGUAGAUGAAAAUGGUGACUCUGUUGACACUUUGGUAGAUGAAAAUGGUGACCCUGUUGAUGUUGACACUUUGGUGUCUUGGAUAAACACCCUUAAUAUAAGGAGAGGUAAGGCACUAAUGGCGGAUUUGGGGUCUAGGCUAAAUAGGAGGAAGAGAGGUAAUCCUCCAAUGGUGGUAGGGGAGGUACUGAUGUUGAAGAUUUAGUUGAUGUGGCCCAAGAUCAAAGGCGUAGAACUAGGAAAGGCAAGACACCAAUGGUGGAGAGCGGAGGUACUGAUGUUGAAGACUUGGUUGGUGUGACACAAGCUCAAGGGCGUAGAACUAGGAAAGGCAAGACACCAAUGGUGGAGAGCGAGGUACUGAUGUUGAAGACUUAUUUGGUGUGGCACAAGUUCAAGAGCCUAGAACUAGGAAACUCAAGAUACCAAUGGUGGAGAGCAGAGGUAAUGAUGUUGAAGACUUAGUUGGUAUGGCACAAGCUCUAAAGCGUAGAACUUGGAAAGGCAAGCAACCAAUGGUGGAGAGCAGAGGUACUGAUGUUGAAGACUUAGUUGGUGUGGCACAAGUUCAAGGGACUAGAAUUAGGAAACGCAAGACACCAAUGGUGGAGAGCAUGGAGAGCGGAGGUACUAAUGUUGAUGUUGAGGACUUAGUUGGUGUGGCACAAGUUCAAGGGCGUAGAACUAGGAAAAGCAAGACACUAAUGAUGAAUGGUGGAGGUAUGGUGUUAGAAUCACCUCCUUCUUUGCGCCAUGAGUUAUAUGCGAACUCACAAGAAUGAGAUGAUGAGAAUAAUAUUGGCUAUGAAAAUGUAGACCUACAAAACAAUUCAGCUUUUCUGGUCUUAAAUGAGGAAAAUGCGAACUUACAAGUAUCAACUGAAUCAGAUCAUGUGCAUAAGGAUGUACAAGCGAACAACGAGAAUGCAAAUCAGGUCUUACUGGUUGUUGAAGAACCAGUACAAGAGAGCAAUGGGAAUCAGCUGCACCUUCCACAAAAGUAGGUCCUUCUUGUUCAAGACAGAGGCUCCUCAGGUGUCGUAAAGGGUGUACGUGUGAUAAUGAAACUUGCAAAUGCUCCGACUAUCCGAUUAAUCCAGAUACGCAACGCCAGUUGGCUGCUUCACAUUCUGAUGAAGUGUAAUGAUUUCUGAGGCUGAUUUUUGCUUCGUCUCCGUGGUGGCUAUUGAAAUAUUAAUUCCCUACUUGCUUUGAUAUGUUCCGUUCCCUUGGAUCUUUUCUAUGAACAAUCUUUUAGACUUUUGUUUGUUAUGAUGCUGGCAGACUUCUGUUUGUUGGGUCAGCUCCCAAAUAUACAAAUAUCUUCCUCUUUUUGUCCUUUUAUCACAUUGCUUUCUAUUUUUGUUAUUUGAUUUGAAGUCGUUUGUUUGAUUAUUAUGAACAUGUCAGCAAAAACAUGGGGGGAAAUAUUUUGAAGAUUUUUUUU